rnacentral:rRNA from 2 species
UACGUAGGUGACAAGCGUUGUCCGGAAUUAUUGGGCGUAAAGGGAGCGCAGGCGGUUGGAAUAGUCUGAUGUGAAAGCCCACGGCUUAACCGUGGAAUUGCAUUGGAAACUGUCCAACUUGAAUGCAGAAGAGGAAAGCGGAAUUCCAUGUGUAGCGGUGAAAUGCGUAGAUAUAUGGAGGAACACCAGUGGCGAAGGCGGCUUUCUGGUCUGUGAUUGACGCUGAGGCUCGAAAGCGUGGGGAGCGAACAGG